GGGUGAGUAAUGCCUAGGAAUCUGCCUGGUAGUGGGGGAUAACGUUCGGAAACGGACGCUAAUACCGCAUACGUCCUACGGGAGAAAGCAGGGGACCUUCGGGCCUUGCGCUAUCAGAUGAGCCUAGGUCGGAUUAGCUAGUUGGUGAGGUAAUGGCUCACCAAGGCGACGAUCCGUAACUGGUCUGAGAGGAUGAUCAGUCACACUGGAACUGAGACACGGUCCAGACUCCUACGGGAGGCAGCAGUGGGGAAUAUUGGACAAUGGGCGAAAGCCUGAUCCAGCCAUGCCGCGUGUGUGAAGAAGGUCUUCGGAUUGUAAAGCACUUUAAGUUGGGAGGAAGGGCAGUUACCUAAUACGUGAUUGUUUUGACGUUACCGACAGAAUAAGCACCGGCUAACUCUGUGCCAGCAGCCGCGGUAAUACAGAGGGUGCAAGCGUUAAUCGGAAUUACUGGGCGUAAAGCGCGCGUAGGUGGUUUGUUAAGUUGGAUGUGAAAUCCCCGGGCUCAACCUGGGAACUGCAUUCAAAACUGACUGACUAGAGUAUGGUAG
rnacentral:rRNA from 1 species